rnacentral:tRNA from 1 species
AUCUUUAUAGUUUAUAAUGAAAAUAUUACACUGAAAAUGUAAAGAAAUUAUUUAAAGAUA